rnacentral:rRNA from 1 species
GUACCCCAAACCGACACAGGUGGUCAGGUAGAGAAUACCAAGGCGCUUGAGAGAACUCGGGUGAAGGAACUAGGCAAAAUGGUGCCGUAACUUCGGGAGAAGGCACGCUGAUGGUAGGUGAAGCGACUUGCUCAUGGAGCUGAAAUCAGUCGAAGAUACCAGCUGGCUGCAACUGUUUAUUAAAAACACAGCACUGUGCAAACACGAAAGUGGACGUAUACGGUGUGACGCCUGCCCGGUGCCGGAAGGUUAAUUGAUGGGGUUAUCCGUAAGGAGAAGCUCUUGAUCGAAGCCCCGGUAAACGGCGGCCGUAACUAUAACGGUCCUAAGGUAGCGAAAUUCCUUGUCGGGUAAGUUCCGACCUGCACGAAUGGCGUAAUGAUGGCCAGGCUGUCUCCACCCGAGACUCAGUGAAAUUGAACUCGCUGUGAAGAUGCAGUGUACCCGCGGCAAGACGGAAAGACCCCGUGAACCUUUACUAUAGCUUGACACUGAACAUUGAGCCUUGAUGUGUAGGAUAGGUGGGAGGCUUUGAAGUGUGGACGCCAGUCUGCAUGGAGCCAACCUUGAAAUACCACCCUUUAAUGUUUGAUGUUCUAACGUAGACCCGUGAUCCGGGUUGCGGACAGUGUCUGGUGGGUAGUUUGACUGGGGCGGUCUCCUCCCAAAGAGUAACGGAGGAGCACGAAGGUUAGCUAAUCCUGGUCGGACAUCAGGAGGUUAGUGCAAUGGCAUAAGCUAGCUUGACUGCGAGCGUGACGGCGCGAGCAGGUGCGAAAGCAGGUCAUAGUGAUCCGGUGGUUCUGAAUGGAAGGGCCAUCGCUCAACGGAUAAAAGGUACUCCGGGGAUAACAGGCUGAUACCGCCCAAGAGUUCAUAUCGACGGCGGUGUUUGGCACCUCGAUGUCGGCUCAUCACAUCCUGGGGCUGAAGUAGGUCCCAAGGGUAUGGCUGUUCGCCAUUUAAAGUGGUACGCGAGCUGGGUUUAGAACGUCGUGAGACAGUUCGGUCCCUAUCUGCCGUGGGCGCUGGAGAAUUGAGGGGGGCUGCUCCUAGUACGAGAGGACCGGAGUGGACGCAUCACUGGUGUUCGGGUUGUCAUGCCAAUGGCAUUGCCCGGUAGCUAAAUGCGGAAAAGAUAAGUGCUGAAAGCAUCUAAGCACGAAACUUGCCCCGAGAUGAGUUCUCCCUGACCCUUUAAGGGUCCUGAAGGAACGUUGAAGACGACGACGUUGAUAGGUCGGGUGUGUAAGCGUAGCGAUACGUUGAGCUAACCGAUACUAAUGAACCGUGAGGCUUAACCU